rnacentral:rRNA from 1 species
UACGUAGGUUGCAAGCGUUGUCCGGAAUUAUUGGGCGUAAAGAGCGCGCAGGCGGUUCACCAAGUCAGAUGUGAAAUAGCCGGGCUUAACCCGGAGGGGUCAUUUGAAACUGGUGGACUAGAGUACAGCAGAGGAUAGCGGAAUUCCCGGUGUAGUGGUGAAAUGCGUAGAUAUCGGGAGGAACACCAGUGGCGAAGGCGGCUAUCUGGGCUGAAACUGACGCUGAGGCGCGAAGGCUAGGGGAGCAAACAGG